AGAUGUGAGGGCGAUCUGGCUGCGACAUCUGUCACCCCAUUGAUCGCCAGGGUUGAUUCGGCUGAUCUGGCUGGCUAGGUAGUGUUCCCCUCCCUCCCUCAUUGCUCCAUGUACAUCAUUCCACAUGCGAGAGCACUGGAUCAUUUUAAGAUGGCCUUCCCCGAAUAGAUUUGGGACCUCUUCAGUCCAGUGUAUACGAAUAGCUGUGCGUCACUGCUAGAAUGUUCAAACAAACUUUCAGGGCCCAUUUGUAGGAGAACAUAGGGUAUUCAAGCUUCCGAGACUUCUGACACAUCCAAAUGAGGUGCUGCAUAUGGCAGUCUACCUUUCUUA
rnacentral:snRNA from 1 species